UACAGGAAUUUAGUGUCAAGUGGGAAGAUGCAGAAUGUUCGUAAUUAACUACAGUAUUACAUGAAAUAGAAUGUGUUACCUGCCAAAAUAGAGAUCUACAGUGCAAAGAGACAAAAAGGCAUUGAUAAACCUUGGCUGUUGCUUCAAAUAUAAAUGAUUCUAGAACAUCAGAAUAACUAGUAACAGUAAGAUUACUCAAAUAAGCAAAUAAAAUCAAAGAAGCUCCUGGUUCCUGGCACACAGCUCCUAACACCAUUGGAAUCUCUGGAGUGAAAAGAGUGUCUUUUGUAAGUGAAUGAGAUGACUGAAGGUCGGGGGCCUGUAGAUAGCCCCUUCUCCUAUACCUCGACCUAUACAUCUCUUCCAUGUU
rnacentral:lncRNA from 1 species